rnacentral:rRNA from 1 species
AUUGAACGCUGGCGGCAGGCCUAACACAUGCAAGUCGAGCGGAUGAGUGGAGCUUGCUCCAUGAUUCAGCGGCGGACGGGUGAGUAAUGCCUAGGAAUCUGCCUGGUAGUGGGGGACAACGUUUCGAAAGGAACGCUAAUACCGCACACGUCCUACGGGAGAAAGCAGGGGACCUUCGGGCCUUGCGCUAUCAGAUGAGCCUAGGUCGGAUUAGCUAGUAGGUGAGGUAAAGGCUCACCUAGGCGACGAUCCGUAACUGGUCUGAGAGGAUGAUCAGUCACACUGGAACUGAGACACGGUCCAGACUCCUACGGGAGGCAGCAGUGGGGAAUAUUGGACAAUGGGCGAAAGCCUGAUCCAGCCAUGCCGCGUGUGUGAAGAAGGUCUUCGGAUUGUAAAGCACUUUAAGUUGGGAGGAAGGGCAGUAAGUUAAUACCUUGCUGUUUUGACGUUACCAACAGAAUAAGCACCGGCUAACUUCGUGCCAGCCGCCGCUGUAAAAC